AUUGAACGCUGGCGGCAUGCUUUACACAUGCAAGUCGAACGGUAACAGGCCGCAAGGUGCUGACGAGUGGCGAACGGGUGAGUAAUGCAUCGGAACGUGCCCAGUCGUGGGGGAUAACUACUCGAAAGAGUAGCUAAUACCGCAUACGAUCUAUGGAUGAAAGCGGGGGACCGUAAUGCCUCGCGCGAUUGGAGCGGCCGAUGUCAGAUUAGGUAGUUGGUGGGGUAAAGGCUCACCAAGCCAACGAUCUGUAGCUGGUCUGAGAGGACGACCAGCCACACUGGGACUGAGACACGGACCAGACUCCUACGGGAGGCAGCAGUGGGGAAUUUUGGACAAUGGGCGCAAGCCUGAUCCAGCAAUGCCGCGUGCAGGAAGAAGGCCUUCGGGUUGUAAACUGCUUUUGUACGGAACGAAACGGCUCUGGUUAAUACCCGGGGCUAAUGACGGUACCGGAAGAAUAAGCACCGGCUAACUACGUG
rnacentral:rRNA from 1 species